ACUAACGUAGAAGAAGAGGACUGUGUGCAGAGGCGAAAAUAAACAAUAGUGAAAAUGUUGAAAUGCAUUUGCUUUUAUUCUCUUAUUUUAGACUUUAAAAAUACCCAACAUGGUUCAAGAGUUUCAUGUACUGAGAUGUUUUCCCUGUCAAACAUUUCAAGUACAGCAGGUGAAGAAGAGUAAGAAAUGGAGCUGUGGCGAGAAGCAGUCACUGAUGAAGGUCAAUCUGAAUCAAGCUAAAUUUGUCAUGACACCCGUCCUCCAAUGAUGACAACUUACCAAUUCCUUUGCCAAAUUAAGCAACUUUUUAGACUACCUUGGCAACUUUUUCUUCCAGAAACUCCUAACAACAAAUUUUGCUAUUUUUACAAUUUAUUUGGCAACUUAUAAGUGAUAAGUGACUCAAAUGAUAAAAAGGAACAUUUACUGCUUAACACCAAAAGAUAAAAAACAUAGUCGUCUAGUAGUUCAUAUCACGUGAAUUAAGUUAGCUGCUAUUUGCAAUUGUUUAUUUUAAUAAUAAUAGUGAUUUUUGUAAAUGAAUACAUUUAUGACACUUUGUUAGUAGCUUGUUCUUGUGAUUGUUGAUUGUUUGGUGCACUGUAAGAAAAAUGGUACUAGUAAUUUUCCAGGACUUUAUCUGUUGUCCAUUAUCUGCUGUAACACAAAAACACAAAAUACAGUGUGUAACCUGAACCUGGAGUAAAUACACUGACCAAACAGCUGAGGGUCCAGAUGGACAUGAAGAAGAGGAAGAAGAUGAGAAUGUUUCUACAGAAAGACACUGAUUCAGAAGCCAGGGAACCAGGAAAAGGAAGAAAAUCUCCUCUUCAAAGUCUCUUGGUGGCCGUGAUGGUAACUGUGAGGACGAGGAGUCAUGGACUGGUUGUUCUGGGUUUAAGAGACGUGAAGGGAAAUGUAUCCAGUCCAAACAUCAGUCACAGCUCAAAGCUAGCCGGUUUUGAAAACGCUGUCUGUAAACAGCCUACACUAUUUAAGAUUAACUCCCUGUUCUUUACUGAUGAAGACUUAGAUGACACAUUUUGAGAAUAAGUUGCAUUUCUAUUCAAAAUUCAAGUUUUAUGAUGUUACCAUAUCCUCUUCAAUAAAUACAAAAAUGCAUUGGUAGUUAAACCAUUCUCCACAGUUCUGAACAUUAAAGAAAAUACAAACUUUAUUUAUUUAUUGCAUUUUAUUGUAGACAGAAAGGACAGGAAUUUUAGAAGACCUACAGUGACAUUAACCUUAUUCCAUCGAUUUAUUCAAACUAACAAUAAAAAUACCCCCAGGUUUCCACUUC